rnacentral:rRNA from 1 species
GACGAACCGUGCGAACGUUAUUCGGAAUCAUUGGGCUUAAAGCGCGUGUAGGCGGAUUCGUGCGUCUGUCGUUGAAAUCCCCCGGCUCAACCGGGGAAGUGGCGCGGAUACGACGAGUCUGGAGGGGCAUAGGGGGACCUGGAACUUCCGGUGGAGCGGUGAAAUGCGUUGAGAUCGGAAGGAACGCCCGUGGCGAAAGCGAGGUCCUGGAUGCCUACUGACGCUAAGACGCGAAAGCCAGGGGAGCGAACGGG